AUUCUCACUCCUUUCUUUCAAUUUUCUCUCUCUUGUUCUUAUUCUCUCUCCUGUUCUUGUUCAUGUUCAUCAAGAACUCAAUCACAGCCAUAAUUUGCUUGUGCGGCAUCAUCAAGAUUCACAAUGAUUUUUGAGAGUUCAUGUUUUUUUGAAGCUUGUUUGAUUGAGAAUCUUGAUGAUGCUGCAUUAGCAAUAGCUUCAAUGGCUAUAUAUAUAUAUAUGUAUAUGUAUAUGUAUAUAUCUUGGGAUCUCAACAAUCUCAUACUCAUAAAGGCAAGAUUUUGACUUUCUGAGAUUCAAUCCAUCGAGAACAUAUAAAAACUGGUCAAUCUCGAAAAACUUAUCGGCCGACAAACUGGACAGAGGAUUGAACCUGAGGAAGACGAGAAAAAUAAAUUAAGGGUUUUUUUUCCUCACUCUUUGUUGUUUAUGUGGGCAAGAUUUUGGCUCUGUAAGACUCAAUCUACUGAACCAUAUAAAAGCUCGUCAAUCUCAAAGAUCUUCUCGGCCAGCAAACCAGAUGGGUCGAACAUGAGGAAGACGAGACAAAUAGAUUAAUGAUUUUUUUUUCCUCUUCGUUGUUUUUGUGGGUAAGAUUUUGGCUUUCUGAGACUCAAUCUACCGAACGCAUAUACAAGCUCGUCAAUCUUAAAGAUCUUAUCGCCUGACAAACCGAACAGUGGAUCGAUCAAACACUAGAAAUUAAGGGUUUUUUUUCUCUCUCUCUUGGUUGUUUUGUGGGUCUAGAGAGAGAGAGAGAUUGAGUGAGUGACAUGUAUCUUCUUUGAUUGGGGAUUGGCCAUUGGGAGAGAUGGCCAUGAAAAUGAAAAACCAAACCAAACGACACACGAAUUCAAGGCUGUUAUGAGUC